CGUGAUCCGGGUUGCGGACAGUGUCUGGUGGGUAGUUUGACUGGGGCGGUCUCCUCCUAAAGAGUAACGGAGGAGCACGAAGGUUGGCUAAUCCUGGUCGGACAUCAGGAGGUUAGUGCAAUGGCAUAAGCCAGCUUGACUGCGAGCGUGACGGCGCGAGCAGGUGCGAAAGCAGGUCAUAGUGAUCCGGUGGUUCUGAAUGGAAGGGCCAUCGCUCAACGGAUAAAAGGUACUCCGGGGAUAACAGGCUGAUACCGCCCAAGAGUUCAUAUCGACGGCGGUGUUUGGCACCUCGAUGUCGGCUCAUCACAUCCUGGGGCUGAAGUAGGUCCCAAGGGUAUGGCUGUUCGCCAUUUAAAGUGGUACGCGAGCUGGGUUUAGAACGUCGUGAGACAGUUCGGUCCCUAUCUGCCGUGGGCGCUGGAGAACUGAGGGGGGCUGCUCCUAGUACGAGAGGACCGGAGUGGACGCAUCACUGGUGUUCGGGUUGUCAUGCCAAUGGCACUGCCCGGUAGCUAAAUGCGGAAGAGAUAAGUGCUGAAAGCA
rnacentral:rRNA from 1 species